GCAGAGGGAUUGGAGGUUGAAUUUUCAGUAUUCCAAGACCUUCCUCACUUGCCAACUCCAUUGAGAACCUUUACUGUUCACAGUUUGUUCAGUUGCCGUUGGUUGAUAGAUUAACAUCACUUCCCUUAGGCUGCAGAAUCGACUAUGACAAUACAUCAGCCUGGAUAAAAUAUGACUCAAAGAGACUUUGAUAAGUAUUGUGUCAUGGAACCAUUAGAGAAAAGAUUUUUAAGCCAUGGAUGGGGUCUAUACAACCAGAGAUUGGAAGUUUGAGAAGGAUAUGAGUGCAACAGACCUUUUGAUUAAUGAGGAAGCGGGAUAUAUUUUUGAAGUAGUUUGCGGCAAAGAAAUGUAUGCUGUUGAUGAAGCUGUCUUGGCUGUUAGAUUUCAUUGCAUACUAUACUGGAUUGUUAUCAGCUCAUUCAAUGUUGAAGCAUUUAAGGGAGCUGCAAGCAGCUCGACAUCCAACUUUUGUAGCUGAAAAAGAGUGUAAAUUCCACAGAAAUAAGCCUUCUUUAGAAGCUUAAUCUAGACUGAACAGGACCUGUAAACUGGCAUUGUGAAAAUUACCAUGAUUAUCAGUAUGUUU
rnacentral:lncRNA from 1 species